GAUGAACGCUGGUGGCGUGCCUAAUACAUGCAAGUCGAGCGAACGGACGAGAAGCUUGCUUCUCUGAUGUUAGCGGCGGACGGGUGAGUAACACGUGGAUAACCUACCUAUAAGACUGGGAUAACUUCGGGAAACCGGAGCUAAUACCGGAUAAUAUUUUGAACCGCAUGGUUCAAAAGUGAAAGGCGGUCUUGCUGUCACUUAUAGAUGGAUCCGCGCUGCAUUAGCUAGUUGGUAAGGUAACGGCUUACCAAGGCAACGAUGCAUAGCCGACCUGAGAGGGUGAUCGGCCACACUGGAACUGAGACACGGUCCAGACUCCUACGGGAGGCAGCAGUAGGGAAUCUUCCGCAAUGGGCGAAAGCCUGACGGAGCAACGCCGCGUGAGUGAUGAAGGUCUUCGGAUCGUAAAACUCUGUUAUUAGGGAAGAACAUAUGUGUAAGUAACUGUGCACAUCUUGACGGUACCUAAUCAGAAAGCCACGGCUAACUACGUG
rnacentral:rRNA from 1 species